rnacentral:rRNA from 1 species
AAUGAAACGCUGGCGGCAGGCUUAGACAUGCAAGUCGACUCGGUAGCACAGGGGAGCUUGCUCCCUGGGUGACGAGCGGCGGACGGGUGAGUAAUGUCUGGGAAACUGCCUGAUGGAGGGGGAUAACUACUGGAAACGGUAGCUAAUACCGCAUAACGUCGCAAGACCAAAGAGGGGGACCUUCGGGCCUCUUGCCAUCAGAUGUGCCCAGAUGGGAUUAGCUAGUAGGUGGGGUAAUGGCUCACCUAGGCGACGAUCCCUAGCUGGUCUGAGAGGAUGACCAGCCACACUGGAACUGAGACACGGUCCAGACUCCUACGGGAGGCAGCAGUGGGGAAUAUUGCACAAUGGGCGCAAGCCUGAUGCAGCCAUGCCGCGUGUGUGAAGAAGGCCUUCGGGUUGUAAAGCACUUUCAGCGAGGAGGAAGGUGGUGAGCUUAAUACGCUCAUCAAUUGACGUUACUCGCAGAAGAAGCACCGGCUAACUCCGUGCCAGCAGCCGCGGUAAUACGGAGGGUGCAAGCGUUAAUCGGAAUUACUGGGCGUAAAGCGCACGCAGGCGGUUUGUUAAGUCAGAUGUGAAAUCCCCGGGCUCAACCUGGGAACUGCAUUUGAAACUGGCAAGCUAGAGUCUCGUAGAGGGGGGUAGAAUUCCAGGUGUAGCGGUGAAAUGCGUAGAGAUCUGGAGGAAUACCGGUGGCGAAGGGGCCCCUGGACGAGACUGACGCUCAGGUGCGAAAGCGUGGGGAGCAACAGGAUUAGAUACCCUGGUAGUCCACGCUGUAAACGAUGUCAAUUUGGAAGGUGGUGCCCUUGAGGCGUGCUUCCGGGAGCUAACCCGUUAAUCGACCGCCUGGGGAGUACGGCCGCAAGGUAAACUCAAUGAAUGACGGGGGCCGCCAAGCGGUGGAGCAUGGUUUAUUCGAUGCACCGGAAACCUUACUUCUCUUGAAUCAGAGAU